rnacentral:rRNA from 1 species
GACGAACGCUGGCGGCGUGCUUAACACAUGCAAGUCGAACGGAAAGGCCCUGCUUUUGUGGGGUGCUCGAGUGGCGAACGGGUGAGUAACACGUGAGUAACCUGCCCUUGACUUUGGGAUAACUUCAGGAAACUGGGGCUAAUACCGGAUAGGAGCUCCUGCUGCAUGGUGGGGGUUGGAAAGUUUCGGCGGUUGGGGAUGGACUCGCGGCUUAUCAGCUUGUUGGUGGGGUAGUGGCUUACCAAGGCUUUGACGGGUAGCCGGCCUGAGAGGGUGACCGGCCACAUUGGGACUGAGAUACGGCCCAGACUCCUACGGGAGGCAGCAGUGGGGAAUAUUGCACAAUGGGCGGAAGCCUGAUGCAGCAACGCCGCGUGCGGGAGGACGGCCUUCGGGUGGUAAACCGCUUUCGCCUGUGACGAAGCGUGAGUGACGGUAAUGGGGAAAGAAGCACCGGCUAACUACGG